ACAGUGCGCAAGAGGCGGGGCGGCCAGGCGGAGGGCUCGAGAGGAAGGACACGUGACUCUGUCAGCCAAUGGCUGAGCCGCCUGCGAAAGUUUACCGGCUGCGGCCGUGAUGGAUCACCGUUUCAGUGGCAUUUAAAUCCCCGGCGCUCCUCAGUGUAGGUGACGCGCGCUCGCCCCCCCAGGCAGCCCGGGCCGCGGCGGGAGCUGCGGCCGCUCCCGGAGCUGACUUGGAACCCUGAGGCCAAAGGGAGUCGAGACUGCCUUCUGCGCGCGCCCGGCUCUGCGCGCCUCCGCCUCCAGAUGUGGGGGGAUGGGAGGCACCCUCCGCGGCCCCUUCCCCACCCAGCCCUGAAAGCUGAAUUGGCAAGAGGUCUGUUUUUCCUGAACCCAUCCACAGCUGGGAGAUUAAUCAACCACACUGAAAAUGGGAGGAGGGAAAGGAAGGGUUGGAAUGUAGAUGUUUGAAACAAAUGUGUAUAAAUAAAUGAAUUUUGAUAA